GCCUGGCACGUCAGUGGAACAAUGAAUGGGCUGAGAGGGGUGUGCACUGUCAGGCAGCAGUACACCAGUGAAAUGAGAAGCACUAUCUCCCUAGCAGCACAUUUCCACUGAGUGAGAGAGAGAGAGAAUAAGGGACGGAGAAAUAAGGAGAAAGCUGUAUUUAUUGCUGUGAGCUAUUGAAAUUCUAGACCAAAUUGUCUUUAUCUCCUCAUACAUAUCCAGGUAGCGCCAUAGAACGAGGCAGGUGAAAAGAUUGACAAAGAGAGUGUGAUCAUUUGUGUACAGCUGCAACCUCAACCCCAGCUUUGUCGUAACUGUGAACCUCAGUAAAGACAGCCCAACCAUGGAUCAGAAAAUCAAUGAAUGCCCCACCACCACCUCCCCCCAGAAACAGAUGAAGAGCAGGUCCAAAUCCACCGAUGAGAUCCAGCACACCAAGAGGCUUUCAUCACAGAAAUCCCUUCCCGGUGGGCCGGACCUGGACAAAGUCAAGGAGGGCCCAGAAGGUUCUGAGACGCCCUCGUCCUCCACAGAGGAGCUGAAGUGAUGACGACUAGGGUCCCUAAGGGAAAUAAGGCCAUCUGCUCAUUAAACAUGAACACAUACUGUACACACACAUAGACUCACAUACACACACACACACAGUCACAUACCUACACACACUUAUACGUUUGUUUAAAUGCAAACACUGAAUUGAUAAACUGAGUUGGUGGAAAGGCAUGUGAUCAGUUAGAGAGAAACACACACGCACACACCAACAAGAUCUCACGAUUUGACCAAUUUGACUUCAGAUUCUGACGUUUAUCCACAUUUCUCCAAGUGUAACGUGUAGACGUUGCGCCAAACGUCAAAUCUCUAAGUGUUUUUGACACCAUGUGUUGACUCCUGUUCAGAAUUGUUCAGUUUCUCCAAACAUCAGAUUGAAGAUAAGUGUUAACGUUUUGGAUAGGGUUAAAAUAUUAAGGUUAGACAUUAAUUCUGAAUGGUUAAGUUAAGGGUUAUGGUUUGGGAUAGGGUUAAAACAAAACAUGUAAAAUGUGUUUCUACCACUGGGAGAUAACAUGUGGCAUUCGGAUUCAGAGUCAUGGGAUUAUGUCGAUUAUGUCCGCACCGCCGUAGCAAAACCCAAGCCUACUUGUUAGUAAUAGUGCUUAAUUUUGAAGUCAAUCUGGAGCGAUCUGCCCACACACACACACACACACACACACACACACACACACACACACACACACACACACACACACACACACACACACACACACACACACAGAGACAGACAGACAGACAGACAGACAGACAGACAGACAGACAGACAGACAGACAGACAGACAGACAGACAACAAGGAGAGCACAAGAAAUGGGCACAUGUGAUGAUGCUGUAUCAUUGUACUGUGAGUUAUCUGUACAUACCAAACUGAAUGUGCAUUCUUCACAAUAAAGCAGUGCUGUUGAGUGGA